GCCNGCAUAGAGCAUACAUGCAAGUCGAGCGAACAGAUAAGGAGCUUGCUCCUUUGACGUUAGCGGCGGACGGGUGAGUAACACGUGGGUAACCUACCUAUAAGACUGGGAUAACUUCGGGAAACCGGAGCUAAUACCGGAUAACAUUUGGAACCGCAUGGUUCUAAAGUGAAAGAUGGUUUUGCUAUCACUUAUAGAUGGACCCGCGCCGUAUUAGCUAGUUGGUAAGGUAACGGCUUACCAAGGCAACGAUACGUAGCCGACCUGAGAGGGUGAUCGGCCACACUGGAACUGAGACACGGUCCAGACUCCUACGGGAGGCAGCAGUAGGGAAUCUUCCGCAAUGGGCGAAAGCCUGACGGAGCAACGCCGCGUGAGUGAUGAAGGGUUUCGGCUCGUAAAACUCUGUUAUUAGGGAAGAACAAACGUGUAAGUAACUGUGCACGUCUUGACGGUACCUAAUCAGAAAGCCACGGCUAACUACGUGCCAGCAGCCGCGGUAAUACGUAGGUGGCAAGCGUUAUCCGGAAUUAUUGGGCGUAAAGCGCGCGUAGGCGGUUUCUUAAGUCUGAUGUGAAAGCCCACGGCUCAACCGUGGAGGGUCAUUGGAAACUGGGAAACUUGAGUGCAGAAGAGGAAAGUGGAAUUCCAUGUGUAGCGGUGAAAUGCGCAGAGAUAUGGAGGAACACCAGUGGCGAAGGCGACUUUCUGGUCUGUAACUGACGCUGAUGUGCGAAAGCGUGGGGAUCAAACAGGAUUAGAUACCCUGGUAGUCCACGCCGUAAACGAUGAGUGCUAAGUGUUAGGGGGUUUCCGCCCCUUAGUGCUGCAGCUAACGCAUUAAGCACUCCGCCUGGGGAGUACGACCGCAAGGUUGAAACUCAAAGGAAUUGACGGGGACCCGCACAAGCGGUGGAGCAUGUGGUUUAAUUCGAAGCAACGCGAAGAACCUUACCAAAUCUUGACAUCCUUUGAAAACUCUAGAGAUAGAGCCUUCCCCUUCGGGGGACAAAGUGACAGGUGGUGCAUGGUUGUCGUCAGCUCGUGUCGUGAGAUGUUGGGUUAAGUCCCGCAACGAGCGCAACCCUUAAGCUUAGUUGCCAUCAUUAAGUUGGGCACUCUAGGUUGACUGCCGGUGACAAACCGGAGGAAGGUGGGGAUGACGUCAAAUCAUCAUGCCCCUUAUGAUUUGGGCUACACACGUGCUACAAUGGACAAUACAAAGGGCAGCUAAACCGCGAGGUCAUGCAAAUCCCAUAAAGUUGUUCUCAGUUCGGAUUGUAGUCUGCAACUCGACUACAUGAAGCUGGAAUCGCUAGUAAUCGUAGAUCAGCAUGCUACGGUGAAUACGUUCCCGGGUCUUGUACACACCGCCCGUCACACCACGAGAGUUUGUAACACCCGAAGCCGGUGGAGUAACCAUUUAUGGAGCUAGCCGUCGAAGGAGACCAUUGG
rnacentral:rRNA from 1 species